rnacentral:rRNA from 1 species
UCGGCAGAGAUGCCUUAGUGCCUUCGGGAACCGUGAGACAGGUGCUGCAUGGCUGUCGUCAGCUCGUGUUGUGAAAUGUUGGGUUAAGUCCCGCAACGAGCGCAACCCUUAUCCUUUGUUGCCAGCGCGUAAUGGCGGGAACUCAAAGGAGACUGCCGGUGAUAAACCGGAGGAAGGUGGGGAUGACGUCAAGUCAUCAUGGCCCUUACGGCCAGGGCUACACACGUGCUACAAUGGCGCAUACAAAGAGAAGCGAACUCGC